rnacentral:misc_RNA from 1 species
AACGCAUAUUGCGCUCUUUGGUAUUCCGAAGAGCAUGCUUGUUUGAGUAUCAGUAAACACCUCAAAGCUUUUGAAUUUUUUUUAAAAGUUUUGGACUUGAGCAAUCCCAACACCAAUCUUUUUCAGAUCGGCGGCGGGUUGCUUGAAAUGCAGGUGCAGCUGGACAUUCUCCUGAGCUAAAAGCAUAUUUAUUUAGUCCCGUCAAACGGAUUAUUACUUUUGCUGCAGCUAAUAUAAAGGGAGUUUGACCGUAUUGGCUGACUGAUGCAGGAUUUCACAAGGAUCGGCAAUGAUUCUUGUAAAACUCGAUCUCAAAUCAAGUAAGACUACCCGCUGAACUUAA